AGAGAAUUAAAGGUGGUUUAGGAAAGAAUGAGAAGAAUGAGAAAAAUUAUUCUCCCUUUUCCAAAGGGCUUGGUGCAUUAGCCUCUUGGCCGACCACAUACAGAACAGAACAUGACUGACCAUGCAGUUUCCCACUACCACCAGCAGAUGGGGUCAAAAUGGCUCCUAGUGUCAACAUGCAAACCUAGUGCUGGCACACAGUGACAGACAGCUAACUGCCACAAACCUGACAGCAAACAUGCAGAGGACAGGGAGAACUGCAGGGAAUCUAAGGAGGGUUGGCGUGCCAGGAAGGGUGUAAGGUGCUGUGGUGGCAGCCGGGGUGACUCCAGGGGUGCGCGCAGACAUGACAGGGUAGCGAGAAGGCAUGUGGCAAGUGAAAUCUCAAGGAAGGCUCAAGCAAGAAGUGAAAGUGCACACUUAUGGCAAGAUGUGGUUUCAAAACGUUAUGCCAGUAAAGACAUAGGAAGUAAGACUGCUGAUAAAGACAGCAACCCGUGCCCGGCCAGCUGCACUUGAAGGACUGCUAAAAGACAUCUAGACCACUCUGCAGGCUUCUUAGCGAUGACGGAUAUUUGAAUGUUACGAAGAGCCUGAUCACAAAUCACCAGCUGAUUUGAACUGCAUGUUUUGUCAGUUCUAAAUCCUUUGUACUAGCUUAAACAAUAUAAUGACAAACUGGGAGAACUACUACAAAGAGAUUCGAUGUAUUGCUUGAAUGAAGGUUAAGUGCUUGACAAAUAAACUGGUGCAUUGCCUUAUUAAUAAAUGUUUACUGUUCUCUUUUCUUUUCUCUUCUCUUGUUCCAUUACAGGGUGCUCAAAGGUCGCGGAGACCUAAAGAACAGCAACUAUGGAGCUAGAAGCAAUGUUAA